AUUGAACGCUGGCGGCAUGCUUUACACAUGCAAGUCGAACGGUAACAGGUUAAGCUGACGAGUGGCGAACGGGUGAGUAAUGCAUCGGAACGUGCCCGAUCGUGGGGGAUAACGCAGCGAAAGCUGCGCUAAUACCGCAUACGAUCUGAGGAUGAAAGCGGGGGACCGUAAGGCCUCGCGCGAUCGGAGCGGCCGAUGUCAGAUUAGGUAGUUGGUGGGGUAAAGGCUCACCAAGCCAACGAUCUGUAGCUGGUCUGAGAGGACGACCAGCCACACGGGGACUGAGACACGGCCCAGACUCCUACGGGAGGCAGCAGUGGGGAAUUUUGGACAAUGGGCGAAAGCCUGAUCCAGCAAUGCCGCGUGCAGGAAGAAGGCCUUCGGGUUGUAAACUGCUUUUGUACGGAGCGAAAAGGUUCUCUCUAAUACAGAGGGCUCAUGACGGUACCGUAAGAAUAAGCACCGGCUAACUACGUGCCAGCCGCCGCGGUAAUAC
rnacentral:rRNA from 1 species